rnacentral:lncRNA from 1 species
GGAAAGAGAAGAUGUGGGGUGUCAGCUGGGAAUGAUCUUUGUAUUGUGAAAUGAAGUACCAGGAGGACUGGCCUAGCAGACAUCCUGUUUCCAGCAGGGGGGAAAAAAAAGUAUGUCUGGACUCUUUGACUUCAGUAGUAAGAGAAAGCAAUCUACUGAAAGCUUCCAAGCUAACUGAAAAGUCCUCAACAUAUCAGAUUUCGACCAUUAUCUACCCCUAUUGUAAAAACAAUGAUUCCACAUUUGUAUGUGUGAGACCCCUAAAGUAGAGGAAACUAAUGAUCUGAGGUCCUUUCUGUCUUAUUAUCCCCACCACACAUCCACUUCUU